AGAAACUCCUUUAGCUGGUAAAAGUUCAACAGUUAGAAUGUGUCUUCUGUUUUGGGGUUUUAAAGCAAAUUUUAAAAAAGUACAUCAAAGCCUCGGAUUAAGUGACAGAACAGUCCACCUAAUCCCUCUCUCAUCCUCGAAGACCUGAAUGUCAAACUUGGAAAGCACACAUUCCUGUUCUUAAUAGCAAAUAUUCAGUAUUGUGGGUAACUAGUGCAGUCAAUAUAGUCUCAGAAAACAGUGUUCUGUUGUAUUUCGUAACUCCUUAAAAACCAAAUGAGAGUGAGGGGCCUGAAAGAGAUGGCGAUUGUCCCUCUACAAUGCCAGGCGGAGGCAUGGAACUGUGCAGAGGGUGUGAGUAAACACAGGUCCAGGCUCUGGCAAAGAGAGCUUGCACCUUCUCAUGCUGAGCUUUAGCAAGCAAACAUUUUCUUAACUGUUGUUUACUUUUCAGCUUUGUGCUGUGAAUGGAAGAAAAUCUGAGCUAUAAGUAAAUAGAGUUACACCAGCAAGAUUUCAUUUGAAGCUGUUCUUGCAUGCUGUUUGUACUGUAUUUGAUGGCAUAAUAUUGUUUCAUUUACAACCUUUUCUUUCUCGCCACUCUAUUAUAUUCUUUCCCUGUAUAUAGUUGAGAAGAAAAAAGAUUAUACAAAGUAUUUUGUUCUACCUCUGUAAAAAUCAUAUUUGUGAAUAAAGUCACGUUGUCUGU
rnacentral:lncRNA from 7 species